GUCUAGGUUUUUCUUAAAACCACUUUCUGAUAAACAAAAAUUCUUG
rfam:Brassica oleracea var. oleracea cultivar TO1000 chromosome C5, whole genome shotgun sequence